GACGAACGCUGGCGGCGUGCCUAAUACAUGCAAGUAGAACGCUGAAGAGAGGAGCUUGCUCUUCUUGGAUGAGUUACGAACGGGUGAGUAACGCGUAGGUAACCUGCCUGGUAGCGGGGGAUAACUAUUGGAAACGAUAGCUAAUACCGCAUAAAAUUGAUUAUUGCAUGAUAAUUAAUUGAAAGAUGCAACUGCAUCACUACCAGAUGGACCUGCGUUGUAUUAGCUAGUUGGUGAGGUAACGGCUCACCAAGGCGACGAUACAUAGCCGACCUGAGAGGGUGAUCGGCCACACUGGGACUGAGACACGGCCCAGACUCCUACAGGAGGCAGCAGUAGGGAAUCUUCGGCAAUGGGGGGAACCCUGACCGAGCAACGCCGCGUGAGUGAAGAAGGUUUUCGGAUCGUAAAGCUCUGUUGUAAGAGAAGAACGGGUGUGAGAGUGGAAAGUUCACACUGUGACGGUAUCUUACCAGAAAGGGACGGCUAACUACGUGCCAGCAGCCGCGGUAAUACGUAGGUCCCGAGCGUUGUCCGGAUUUAUUGGGCGUAAAGCGAGCGCAGGCGGUUAGAUAAGUCUGAAGUUAAAGGCUGUGGCUUAACCAUAGUAUGCUUUGGAAACUGUUUAACUUGAGUGCAGAAGGGGGGAGUGGAAUUCCAUGUGUAGCGGUGAAAUGCGUAGAUAUAUGGAGGAACACCGGUGGCGAAAGCGGCUCUCUGGUCUGUAACUGACGCUGAGGCUCGAAAGCGUGGGGAGCAAACAGGAUUAGAUACCCUGGUAGUCCACGCCGUAAACGAUGAGUGCUAGGUGUUAGGCCCUUUCCGGGGCUUAGUGCCGCAGCUAACGCAUUAAGCACUCCGCCUGGGGAGUACGACCGCAAGGUUGAAACUCAAAGGAAUUGACGGGGGCCCGCACAAGCGGUGGAGCAUGUGGUUUAAUUCGAAGCAACGCGAAGAACCUUACCAGGUCUUGACAUCCCUCUGACCGCUCUAGAGAUAGAGUUUUCCUUCGGGACAGAGGUGACAGGUGGUGCAUGGUUGUCGUCAGCUCGUGUCGUGAGAUGUUGGGUUAAGUCCCGCAACGAGCGCAACCCCUAUUGUUAGUUGCCAUCAUUGAGUUGGGCACUCUAGCGAGACUGCCGGUAAUAAACCGGAGGAAGGUGGGGAUGACGUCAAAUCAUCAUGCCCCUUAUGACCUGGGCUACACACGUGCUACAAUGGCUGGUACAACGAGUCGCAAGCCGGUGACGGCAAGCUAAUCUCUGAAAGCCAGUCUCAGUUCGGAUUGUAGGCUGCAACUCGCCUACAUGAAGUCGGAAUCGCUAGUAAUCGCGGAUCAGCACGCCGCGGUGAAUACGUUCCCGGGCCU
rnacentral:rRNA from 1 species